rnacentral:rRNA from 1 species
AGUGGGGAAUCUUGCGCAAUGGGCGAAAGCCUGACGCAGCAACGCCGCGUGUGUGAUGAAGGCCUUCGGGUUGUAAAGCACUGUCAAGAGGGAAGAAAUGCCUCGGAUCAAUACCCCGAGGCUAUGACGGUACCUUUGAAGGAAGCACCGGCUAACUCCGUGCCAGCAGCCGCGGCAACACGGGGGGUGCGAACGUUGUUCGGAAUCAUUGGGCGUAAAGCGCGUGUAGGCGGAUCGGAAAGUCGGGUGUGAAAGCCCGGGGCUCAACCCCGGAAUGGCGCCCGAAACUGCCAAUCUUGAGUACGGGAGGGGGAAGCGGAAUUCUUGGUGUAGGGGUGAAAUCCGUAGAUAUCAGGAGGAACACCGAUGGCGAAGGCAGCUUCCUGGACCGAUACUGACGCUGAGACGCGAAAGCGUGGGGAGCAAACAGGAUUAGAUACCCUGGUAGUCCACGCCGUAAACGAUGUUCACUAGGUGCUGCGGGAAUUAACCCCUGCGGUGUCGUAGCUA